GACGAACGCUGGCGGCGUGCCUAAUACAUGCAAGUUGAGCGCUGAAGGUUGGUACUUGUACCAACUGGAUGAGCAGCGAACGGGUGAGUAACGCGUGGGGAAUCUGCCUUUGAGUGGGGGACAACAUUUGGAAACGAAUGCUAAUACCGCAUAAAAACUUUAAACACAAGUUUUAAGUUUGAAAGAUGCAAUUGCAUCACUCAAAGAUGAUCCCGCGUUGUAUUAGCUAGUUGGUGAGGUAAAGGCUCACCAAGGCGAUGAUACAUAGCCGACCUGAGAGGGUGAUCGGCCACAUUGGGACUGAGACACGGCCCAAACUCCUACGGGAGGCAGCAGUAGGGAAUCUUCGGCAAUAGACGAAAGUCUGACCGAGCAACGCCGCGUGAGUGAAGAAGGUUUUCGGAUCGUAAAACUCUGUUGGUAGAGAAGAACGUUGGUGAGAGUGGAAAGCUCAUCAAGUGACGGUAACUACCCAGAAAGGGACGGCUAACUACGUG
rnacentral:rRNA from 1 species